AGCCCGGUCGUUCAAUUGGUAGGACAGCGGAUUUUGGGUCCGCUUAUCGAGGUUCGAGUCCUCGCCGGGCUGCCA
rnacentral:tRNA from 3 species